UGAUAGUUGUACAUUUCCAUCACUCGUUGUGUUGAUUUCAUCAUGUCCAUUAGGUGAUGUUUUUUCACUAUAGAAUCAUAUUGCAAGUGCGCGCGCAUUUGCAAUAUGUUUCAAUGUGCAUUUACCAUAUGAAAUUUGAAAUGCUCAAAAAUGCAAAAUUGACUGGUCUGAUGGACACAGGAUGGCCGAGCAGUGAUAGUUGUACAUUUCCAUCACUUGUUGUGUUGAUUUCAUCAUGUCCAUUAGGUGAUGUUUUUUCACUAUAGAAUCAUAUUGCAAAUGCACGUGCAUUGUUGUGCAACUGGUAACCCAAAAAUUAAAAUAUGGUUGUAAAUGCAUUUACCGGUCAUUCUGAUAUUAAUGCUCGCUAUGGGAACACAGGAUGGCCGGGCAGUGAUAGUUGUACAUUUCCAUCACUCGUUGUGUUGAUUUCAUCAUGUCCAUUAGGUGAUGUUUUUACA